rnacentral:rRNA from 1 species
AUUGAACGCUGGCGGCAGGCCUAACACAUGCAAGUCGAACGGUAACAGGAAGAAGCUUGCUUCUUUGCUGACGAGUGGCGGACGGGUGAGAAAUGUCUGGGAAACUGCCUGAUGGAGGGGGAUAACUACUGGAAACGGUAGCUAAUACCGCAUAACGUCGCAAGACCAAAGAGGGGGACCUUCGGGCCUCUUGCCAUCGGAUGUGCCCAGAUGGGAUUAGCUAGUAGGUGGGGUAACGGCUCACCUAGGCGACGAUCCGUAGCUGGUCUGAGAGGAGGACAGGCCACACUGGAACUGAGACACGGUCCAGACUCCUACGGGAGGCAGCAGUGGGGAAUAUUGCACAAUGGGCGCAAGUCUGAUGCAGCCAUGCCGCGUGUAUGAAGAAGGCCUUCGGGUUGUAAAGUACUUUCAGCGGGGAGGAAGGGAGUAAAGUUAAUACCUUGCCUGAUUGACGUUACCCGCAGAAGAAGCACCGGCUAACUCCGUG